UGGUCCAGCGAGAUGCUGAAGAAGUCGGGCUCACAGAGCCCCAUUGUGGUGUGUCAGAACCCACAGAAAAUGUUCCUCCUGUGCAUUAUUUAUGACUUUCCUGCAUUUAUAUAGUAUCCAGCUUCCUGAAAGUAAUUUGUUUUGGAUUGUGUAGUGCCGGGCAGCACAUCAAAGGAAAUUAGUGUCGCAACCAAGCCUUCUGGGAAGGUUAUGAAGAUCUUCAAGCCCACUUGGACUGAAUUCUGUAGAAAUCCUGAUUGAACCAAUGUCUAGGCAACCAUGGGACCAGUUUUAAAGUAGUGCCAAGGUGCUAAGUUAAUGAAGAGAAUCUUUCAAGACUGGAAAUUUAGGCUACACUUGAUGGUUAUAAUUUAAAUACUUCUCAAUAAAAGCAUUUCCCAUUUUAAAAA
rnacentral:lncRNA from 1 species